GGGCCAUUAGCUCAAUUGGCAGAGCAACUGACUCUUAAUCAGUAGGUCCACCGUUCGACCCGGUGAUGGCCCACCA
rnacentral:tRNA from 1 species